UUUGUCCUCCCCUCUAGCUUUCUCUGCUCAAUUAUCUUCUCCGCUGGGUCUCACAGUGGUUCAAGUUGUGAGUCCAAAUGCGACAAAGAAAGAGAAAGUUUGUACGCGAUUUGAAUGAGACAAAUUCACUCGCUACCAACUCAUGCUACAAAGGAAUGGUCGUAAUUUUUGCUUGGGAUUCAAUUGAGGUUAGAGGUGCUUUCUCAAGGAAAUGCGAUUUUGGAGCUUUGGACUAGGCCAAAUUAGGU